rnacentral:rRNA from 1 species
UCGGUACGCGCGGAUCUUCCAGAGAUUAGAGUUUGAUCCUGGCUCAGGACGAACGCUGGCGGCGUGCUUAACACGUGCAAGUUGAACGGUACUCCAUGGAAGCUUGCUGAAGUGGAGUAUAGUAGCGGACGGGUGAGUAAUGCAUGAGAAGCUGCCAUUGGGAGGGGGACAACAGCUGGAAACGGCUGCUAAUGCCCCGUAUGCCGGAAGGUGAAAGGGAUUUAUCCCGCCCGAUGAGGUGCUCAUGUCCUAUCAGCUAGUUGGUGAGGUAACGGCUCACCAAGGCGACGACGGGUAGCCGGCCUGAGAGGGUGAACGGCCACACUGGAACUGAGACACGGUCCAGACUCCUACGGGAGGCAGCAGUGGGGAAUAUUGGGCAAUGGGGGCAACCCUGACCCAGCGACGCCGCGUGAAGGACGAAGGCCUUCGGGUUGUAAACUUCUUUGAUCGAGGACGAUAAUGACGGUACUCGAGGAACAAGCCACGGCUAACUACGUGCCAGCAGCCGCGGUAAUACGUAGGGGGCAAGCGUUAUCCGGAUUUACUGGGUGUAAAGGGCGUGUAGGCGGGUUUCCAAGUCGGAUGUGAAAAGGCAU